rnacentral:misc_RNA from 1 species
GAAAUGCGUUAAGUAGUGUGAAUUGCAGAAUUCAGUGAAUCAUCGAAUCUUUGAACGCACAUUGCGCCCUUUGGUAUUCCUUAGGGCAUGCCUGUUCGAGCGUCAUUUGUAACCUCAAGCUCAGCUUGGUGUUGGGUGUCUGUCCCCGCCCCGCGCGGGGACUCGCCUCAAAAACAUUGGCUGCCGGUACGUUGGCUUCGAGCGCAGCAGAAACGCGAACUCGAGGCCCGACGGAUCGGCGACCAGAAGUCACUUCUUCCACAGCUUGACCUCGGAUCAGGUAGGGAUACCCGCUGAACUUAAGC